CAUUUCCCAGCAGUCCCCAAAUGGCUGUUUCCAUGGGGACGCAGCAGCUGCCUCAUUUCCCUUCAGGCCCCAUGGGCUGCUGGUCAACCUCAGGAUCUACUAAAGAUGACGCAAAUGCCGACUGAACAAUCUGAAACCCAAAGGACUCGAGGAGAGACAUGUUCUGCUGAGGAGAGAAAGGGCCAAGCAGCCAAAGCACAGAGAUUGAAAGCAACUCUGUACUACUCAGUCGGCUGGCUGUCCCCACCCUAGGCCCCAGACAAGUGGGCCAAGAGACAACCCUGGCUGCUCUGCCUUGCCUGGCCCACACUGGAGUCCUCCACCAAUCAGCAGCUUCCUGCCUGGGUCCAGAGAGCCAUGCCGGGAAGGGAGGUCUGUGAUGGGAGCAUGGAGCAUGCCAUCUCUGCUGUUUCUACCAUCUGCCAAGCCCCUGGCCUCAUCCCCAAGGCAACGACAACGUGACAUACCACAAAACAACCUGAAUCAACAAGUGAAGAACUGUAAGAGAAAGCAACAUUCACCUUUGUGUCACAGAUCAAAUGGUAACCCACUGAAGACCACCCCAUUACCUUGUGCUAGAACAGAACUGCCUCUGCCAUCUCUCUUUAACAGAAGCACAUCCUGAGAAUCUGAGAGCUCAAGGUAAGUGGCUGAACACUGUCAACACAUACAGACAUCUAACUGUCUCCUUACUGUACAGCCAUAGCAAGAAACAAACGCAUGCAGUGCUGUCAAGGUAGAAGACACCACUGUUUACUACCCCAGUCCCAAAUAUCUGUGUACGUUAGCACAGCCUACCUAGCUCUUCUGUCAUUGUCUUUUUAAGUAAACAUUAUACAUUUGAACU